UUAGAGGAAGUAAAAGUCGUAACAAGGUCUCCGUAGGUGAACCUGCGGAGGGAUCAUUACAGAGUUCAUGCCCUAACGGGUAGAUCUCCCACCCUAUGUUAUCAUCACUUUGUUGCUUUGGCGGGCCGUCAGGCCUCGGCUUGGCUACCGGCUCUCGCUGGUAAGCGCCCGCCAGAGAACCCCAAACCCUGAAUAUCAGUGUCGUCUGAGUACUAUAUAAUAGUUAAAACUUUCAACAACGGAUCUCUUGGUUCUGGCAUCGAUGAAGAACGCAGCGAAAUGCGAUAAGUAAUGUGAAUUGCAGAAUUCAGUGAAUCAUCGAAUCUUUGAACGCACAUUGCGCCCCUUGGUAUUCCGAGGGGCAUGCCUGUUCGAGCGUCAUUACAACCCUCAAGCACAGCUUGGUCUUGGGCUCCGCCGCUAACCCGGCGGGCUUUAAAAUCAGUGGCGGUGCCGUCGAGGCCCUGAGCGUAGUAAACAUCCUCGCUAUAGGGACCCGAUGGACACUAGCCAUCAACCCCAACUUUCUAAGUUUGACCUCGGAUCAGGUAGGGAUACCCGCUGAACUUAAGCAUAUCAAUA
rnacentral:rRNA from 1 species